rnacentral:lncRNA from 1 species
CCCAAAUUAAAAAUAUCCAAAGAUUACACUUCUGUGAAAUGUGUUCUCCCUCCCCUCUCUCUUCCCUGGUUCCCUCCCCAGAGACAACUGAGAAAUUGUUACCAGUUCUUUGAUGGUCCUAGCCAGAGCUGGUCUAUAUAUUCCCUUUUCCCUAUAAUGAGAAGAAGAAUCUGGCAGAGCGUUCAUAGCUUCUGUGUUUUGUUUACAUGGAAAUGUGAACAGAGAAACAAGAACACUUCUCUUUACCCAGCAAAGUGCCUCCUCCAAGGUCCCAGAACCAUUGAGGGUGUUUGGGGGGUUGUGGGGCUGGGAGUAGAGAUUGCAUGA